AAAGGGACUUCGGUCCUGAGUAAAGUGGCGCACGGGUGAGUAACACGUAGGUAACCUGCCUCUAGGAUUGGGAUAACCUGUCGAAAGACGAGCUAAUACCAAAUAAGACCACAAUUUCCUCGGAAGCAGCGGUCAAAGGUAGCCUCUACAUGUAAGCUAUCGCUUAGAGCUGGGCCUGCGUACCAUUAGCUAGUUGGUAGGGUAACGGCCUACCAAGGCUAAGAUGGUUAGCUGGUCUGAGAGGAUGAUCAGCCACACUGGAACUGAGACACGGUCCAGACUCCUACGGGAGGCAGCAGUGGGGAAUAUUGCGCAAUGGGCGAAAGCCUGACGCAGCAACGCCGCGUGAGUGAUGAAGGCCUUCGGG
rnacentral:rRNA from 1 species